rnacentral:lncRNA from 1 species
AUGUUCUUUCUCAGGUUGCAUUUUCAAAACUAUGGAACGGUUGGAAUAGGAGAACCCAUGGAAAUUCGAGAACUUAGCGGUGUUCAUCUUCUAGAGGUUGAUAGAUGAUUAUUGAAGAAACAAGUUCAGGGUGGACUUAGAUACACACCUUAACAAUAAACUCUAUUUUGUUUCAUGUUUAUGUUUGCUACAAUUCGAUGGUAAUGGUUUGGAACAACAUAUU